GAAGCUGUUCUUUUUGUCAUUCUCAAGUUGAGGAUUUGGAUCAUCUCGUUUUACAUUGUUCUGAUACGUGGACCAAUGGUUCACACGAUAUUAAAUUAUUUUUUUGAAGAGGUGAGUGCACCACAAUAGCUUGCUAUUGGGGUUUACGCGUGUCAUCAUUGCGUUGCACUACAGCAAGGUUUUGGCGCACCCUAC